GGUUAAGUGGCAUUUCCUGUCCCAUUGUGUUAAAUAGCAUGCAGCUGCUGAUGUGCAGCAUGCAGCUAUCAUCAGAUACUAAACAGCAGAGUGGUGAGUGGACUGGCCGGUGUGGACCCCAAUGUAGUCCUGUGUUCCAGGAGCUAUCAUUUGACUCAUUGUGUCUAAUAUUGACCCAGAUGCUCUGAAUUGCCAGUCUUGAUAAAGGUCCUAUAAUAGGACCGAAACGUCGAAUGUUAAAGGCAACGUUAUUGAACCUGAUUAACCUGAAUAAACUGAUUGACACAUCAAGAUCUUCAAAGUGAUUGAUUUCUGCGAGAGU